rnacentral:rRNA from 1 species
GACGAACGCUGGUGGCGUGCUUAACACAUGCAAGUCGAACGGGAUUUCGUAAACAGCCGCCUCGGUGGAAGAUUACUAAUGAGAGUGGCGAACGGGUGAGUAACGUGAGCAACCUGCCUAUGACAGUGGGAUAGCCUCGGGCAACCGGGAUUAAUACCGCAUAAAAUCGUAGAAAUACAUGUUUUAACGGUCAAAGAUUUAUCGGUCAUAGAUGGGCUCGCGUCUGUUUAUCUCGUUGGUGAGAUAACAGCCCACCAAGGCGACGAUCAGUAGCCGGUCUGAGAGGAUGAGCGGCCACAUUGGAGCUGAGACACGGUCCAAACUCCUACGGGAGGCAGCAGUGGGGAAUAUUGCACAAUGGGGGAAACCCUGAUGCAGCGACGCCGCGUGAACGAAGAAGGUAGGCGUAUCGUAAAGUUCUGUCCUAUGGGAAGAUAAUGACAGUACCAAAGAAGAAAGCACCGGCUAAAUACGUG